rnacentral:lncRNA from 1 species
UUCAACUUCUUGCGGAGCUGGCUCGUCCCUAAGGACACACACAAGCGGCCUUUGAUUACCCUGGAGGACAGCUGCCCUAGAGGCAGAUUGCUGACAUACCACUAGAACAAUCCCUCCCCUCUGUUCUGAUGCUGGCUAGCACAGUCUUCCCUGCUUCUAGUUCCUUCUGUUUUCUAUCCCACCUCCGAUCUCUGCUAUUGGUUUAGUGAGGUGUCACAUUAAAAAUGGUAGUAGGGAUAUUUGUGAUUAGAUUUUCUUUCUUGCGCUCUGCUUAGAGAAUGUGGCAAGUAGCCAGAUUUCAAUAGCAGGCCUUUCAGGGGAAAAGUAGGUGAUUUUGUGCAAAGUAAUACUUCUUUUGUUUCUUUUAGCUUUUCUCUUGAGUUCUUGUUCCUUUUAAAAUGAGAAAUCUAAGGUAUUUCAAUUCUGGCUAUUCUUCUC